rnacentral:misc_RNA from 1 species
AGCAGCCGCGGUAAUUCCAGCUCUAAUAGCGUAUAUUUAUGUUGUUGCAGUUAAAAAGCUCGUAGUUGGACCUUGGGCUGGGUCGGCCGGUCCGCCUCACGGCGAGCACCGACCUACUCGACCCUAUUGCUGGCGAUGCGCUCCUAGCCUUAAUUUGCCGGGUCAUGCCUCUGGCUCUGUUACUUUGAAGAAAUUAGAGUGUUUAAAGCAGGCUCACGCUUGAAUACAUUAGCAUGGAAUAAUGAAAUAGGACGUUUGAUUCUAUUUUGUUGGUUUCUAGGAUCGACGUAAUGAUUAAUAGGGAUAGUUGGGGGCAUUAGUAUUCAAUUGUCAGAGGUGAAAUUCUUGGAUUUAUUGAAGACUAACUACUGCGAAAGCAUUUGCCAAGGAUGUUUUCAUUAAUCAAGAACGAAAGUUAGGGGAUCGAAGACGAUCAGAUACCGUCGUAGUCUUAACCAUAAACUAUGCCGACUAGGGAUCGGAUGAUGUUAAUUUUUUAAUGACUCAUUCGGCGCCUUAC